rnacentral:rRNA from 1 species
GCUAUACAUGCAGUCGAGCGGACUUGAAGAGAAGCUUGCUUCUCUGAUGGUUAGCGGCGGACGGGUGAGUAACACGUAGGCAACCUGCCCUCAAGUUUGGGACAACUACCGGAAACGGUAGCUAAUACCGAAUAAUUGUUUUCUUCGCCUGAAGGAAACUGGAAAGACGGAGCAAUCUGUCACUUGGGGAUGGGCCUGCGGCGCAUUAGCUAGUUGGUGAGGUAACGGCUCACCAAGGCGACGAUGCGUAGCCGACCUGAGAGGGUGAUCGGCCACACUGGGACUGAGACACGGCCCAGACUCCUACGGGAGGCAGCAGUAGGGAAUCUUCCGCAAUGGGCGAAAGCCUGACGGAGCAAUGCCGCGUGAGUGAUGAAGGUUUUCGGAUCGUAAAGCUCUGUUGCCAGGAAGAACGCUUGNAGAGUAACUGCUCUCAAGGUGACGGUACCUGAGAAGAAAGCCCCGGCUAACUACGUGCCAGC